CAGGCAGCGAGAGCAGAGCAGCGUAGAGCAGCACAGCUGAGCUCGUGAGGCAGGAGACUCAGCCCGAGGAAAUCGCAGAUAAGUUUUUAAUUAAAAAGAUUGAGCAGUAAAAAGAAUUAGAACUCUAAACUUAAGCUAAUAGAGUAGCUUAUCGAAAUAUUACUUAGUCUUAAUAAUCUAAGAAGAUCUUAAGAGAUAACAUGAAGGCUUAUUUAAACAGUUUGAAAAAGGAAAUGAGGAGAAAAGUAUUUGUACUGUAUAAUGGAGGCUGACCAGAGCAGUUUAGGAGAUUGUAAAGGGAGGUUUUGUGAAGUUCUAAAAGGUUCUAGUUUGAAGGUCGGCCUUGUAGAUUAAAACGAAGGUUACCUAAAUAGAAUCUAAGUGGCAUUUAAAACAGUAAAGUUGUAGAGAAUAAUUAGAAAAUGGAAGUGAAAGACGAAGAAGACAUACAGGAAGGUGAAGAAAAAGCUGUUAGAGAAGAUAGGAAAAUAGAAGACAAAGCAUCUUUAGAAGACAGAAAAGCAUUGGCAGCUGACCCAGGAAAGAGUGCGGUUCGGUGGAGGAAGCUAGGAAGAAGGAGCCAUACGGAUGUGGUGGUGAAGCUGGGAAAGGGUUCCAGGAUGGUGGAGCGAGAGCGAGUUGGUGAUGAAGCUAGCUGGCGGCUUGGCUUGUCAACUGCGCGGAGGAGGCGAGCUGCAGGGAGAGCAUGCGGUGCGGUAACAUUCCUUGAGGUCGGCAACAUGGUGGUGGUUUUCUGUAACUUGGAUGGUAACUUGUUUACUUUGUCUUAAUAGUUAUGGGGGAGUUGUAGGCUUCUGUGUAAAGAGAUAUAUCUGGGGCUGUAUGUAGGCCUUUGCGGGUGUUGUAGGUUUUUCUUUUUCAGGGUUAUGUCCUCUUGCAUCUUGUCAGAAGCUUUUGAGGGCUGACUGCCAAGGCCCAGAAAGAAGAAUGGUAGAUGGCAAGUUGUCUUUAACCGCUCAGAGGGGAAUGAAUGGUAGAGCCAGCACAACCUCCCAGUUUUGUAAGACGUUGUAGUUUGAACAGAUGACUCAAGGGAACCAGAAAAAAGGAAAUCCACUCUCAGGAUAAGCAGAGCUCGCCAGGUUUACAGUUUGUAGGAAGUAGAGGAUGGAUGCUAGCUUUCACACUGAGUGUGGAGGAGCUGGCCAUGGCGGAAUUGCUGGUAGUUUACUCUUUCCCCCUCCCUUAAUGAGAUUUGUAAAAUCCUAAACACUUUUACUUGAAAUAUUUGGGAGUGGUCUUAACAGGGAGGAGUGGGUGGGGGAAACGUUUUUUUUCUAAGAUUUUCCACAGAUGCUAUAGUUGUGUUGACACACUGGGUUAGAGAAGGCGUGUACUGCUAUGCUGUUGGCACGACACCUUCAGGGACUGGAGCUGCCUUUUGUCCUUGGAAGAGUUUUCCCAGUUGCCGCUGAAGUCAGCACAGUGCGGCUUUGGUUCACAGUCACCUCAGGAGAACCUCAGGAGCUUGGCUAGGCCAGAGGUUGAAGUUAAGUUUUACAGCACCGUGAUUUAAAAUAUUUCAUUAAAGGGGAGGGGUAAAACUUAGUUGGCUGUGGCCUUGUGUUUGGGUGGGUGGGGGUGUUAGGUAAUUGUUUAGUUUAUGAUUUCAGAUAAUCAUACCAGAGAACUUAAAUAUUUGGAAAAACAGGAAAUCUCAGCUUUCAAGUUGGCAAGUAACUCCCAAUCCAGUUUUUGCUUCUUUUUUCCUUUUUCUUUUUUUGAGGCGGGCAGCUAAGGAAGGUUGGUUCCUCUGCCGGUCCCUCGAAAGCGUAGGGCUUGGGGGUUGGUCUGGUCCACUGGGAUGAUGUGAUGCUACAGUGGGGACUCUUCUGAAGCUGUUGGAUGAAUAUAGAUUGUAGUGUGUGGUUCUCUUUUGAAAUUUUUUUCAGGUGACUUAAUGUAUCUUAAUAACUACUAUAGGAACAAAGGAAGUGGCUUUAAUGACCCUGAAGGAAUUUCUUCUGGUGAUAGCUUUUAUAUUAUCAAGUAAGAGAUACUAUCUCAGUUUUGUAUAAGCAAGUCUUUUUCCUAGUGUAGGAGAAAUGAUUUUCCUUGUGACUAAACAAGAUGUAAAGGUAUGCUUUUUUUCUUCUUGUGCAUUGUAUACUUGUGUUUAUUUGUAACUUAUAAUUUAAGAAUUAUGAUAAUUCAGCCUGAAUGUCUUUUAGAGGGUGGGCUUUUGUUGAUGAGGGAGGGGAAACCUUUUUUUUUCUGUAGACCUUUUUCAGAUAACACCAUCUGAGUCAUAACCAGCCUGGCAGUGUGAUGACGUAGAUGCAGAGGGAGCAGCUCCUUGGUGAAUGAGUGAUAAGUAAAGGCAGAAAAAAUAAUGUCAUGUCUCCAUGGGGAAUGAGCAUGAGCCAGAGAUUGUUCCUACUGAUGAAAAGCUGCAUAUGCAAAAAUUUAAGCAAAUGAAAGCAACCAGUAUAAAGUUAUGGCAAUACCUUUAAAAGUUAUGGCUUAUCUACCAAGCUUUAUCCACAAAAGUAAAGAAUUGAUGAAAAACAGUGAAGAUCAAAUGUUCAUCUCAAAACUGCUUUUACAAAAGCAGAAUAGAAAUGAAGUGAAAAUGCUGCAUUAAGCCUGGAGUAAAAAGAAGCUGAGCUUGUUGAGAUGAGUGGGAUCGAGCGGCUGCGAGGCGGUGCAGUGUGCCAAUGUUUCGUUUGCCUCAGACAGGUUUCUCUUCAUAAGCAGAAGAGUUGCUUCAUUCCAUCUCGGAGCAGGAAACAGCAGACUGCUGUUGACAGAUAAGUGUAACUUGGAUCUGCAGUAUUGCAUGUUAGGGAUAGAUAAGUGCCUUUUUUCUCUUUUUCCAAAAAGACCUGUAGAGCUGUUGAAUGUUUGCAGCUGGCCCCUCUUAGGCAGUUCAGAAUUUUGAGUAGUUUUCCCAUCCAGCCUCUUAAAAAUUCCUAAGCCUUGCACCGAUGGGCUUUCAUGAUGGGAUAGCUAAUAGGCUUUUGCAUCGUAAACUUCAACACAAAAGCCUACAUGAUUAAUGCCUACUUUAAUUACAUUGCUUACAAGAUUAAGGAAUCUUUAUCUUGAAGACCCCAUGAAAGGGAUCAUUAUGUGCUGAAAAUUAGAUGUUCAUAUUGCUAAAAUUUAAAUGUGCUCCAAUGUACUUGUGCUUAAAAUCAUUAAAUUAUACAAAUUAAUAAAAUACUUCACUAGAGAAUGUAUGUAUUUAGAAGGCUGUCUCCUUAUUUAAAUAAAGUCUUGUUUGUUGUCUGUAGUUAGUGUGGGCAAUUUUGGGGGGAUGUUCUUCUCUAAUCUUUUCAGAAACUUGACUUCGAACACUUAAGUGGACCAGAUCAGGAUUUGAGCCAGAAGACCGAAAUUAACUUUAAGGCAGGAAAGACAAAUUUUAUUCUCCAUGCAGUGAUGAGCAUUUAAUAAUUGCAGGCCUGGCAUAGAGGCCGUCUAACUAAGGACUAAGUACCUUAGGCAGGUGGGAGAUGAUGGUCAGAGUAAAAGGUAACUACAUAUUUUGUUUCCAGAAAGUCAGGGGUCUAAUUUGACCAUGGCUAAACAUCUAGGAGCCUCAUUUCAUCCUUCAUGGAGCUGCUCAGGACUUUGCAUAUAAGCGCUUGCCUCUGUCUUCUGUUCUGCUAGUGAGUGUGUGAUGUGAGACCUUGCAGUGAGUUUGUUUUUCCUGGAAUGUGGAGGGAGGGGGGGAUGGGGCUUACUUGUUCUAGCUUUUUUUUUACAGACCACACAGAAUGCAGGUGUCUUGACUUCAGGUCAUGUCUGUUCUUUGGCAAGUAAUAUGUGCAGUACUGUUCCAAUCUGCUGCUAUUAGAAUGCAUUGUGACGCGACUGGAGUAUGAUUAAAGAAAGUUGUGUUUCCCCAAGUGUUUGGAGUAGUGGUUGUUGGAGGAAAAGCCAUGAGUAACAGGCUGAGUGUUGAGGAAAUGGCUCUCUGCAGCUUUAAGUAACCCGUGUUUGUGAUUGGAGCCGAGUCCCUUUGCUGUGCUGCCUUAGGUAAAUGUUUUUGUUCAUUUCUGGUGAGGGGGGUUGGGAGCACUGAAGCCUUUAGUCUCUUCCAGAUUCAACUUAAAAUCUGACAAGAAAUAAAUCAGACAAGCAACAUUCUUGAAGAAAUUUUAACUGGCAAGUGGAAAUGUUUUGAACAGUUCCGUGGUCUUUAGUGCAUUAUCUUUGUGUAGGUGUUCUCUCUCCCCUCCCUUGGUCUUAAUUCUUACAUGCAGGAACAUUGACAACAGCAGACAUCUAUCUAUUCAAGGGGCCAGAGAAUCCAGACCCAGUAAGGAAAAAUAGCCCAUUUACUUUAAAUCGAUAAGUGAAGCAGACAUGCCAUUUUCAGUGUGGGGAUUGGGAAGCCCUAGUUCUUUCAGAUGUACUUCAGACUGUAGAAGGAGCUUCCAGUUGAAUUGAAAUUCACCAGUGGACAAAAUGAGGACAACAGGUGAACGAGCCUUUUCUUGUUUAAGAUUAGCUACUGGUAAUCUAGUGUUGAAUCCUCUCCAGCUUCAUGCUGGAGCAGCUAGCAUGUGAUGUAAUGUUGGCCUUGGGGUGGAGGGGUGAGGUGGGCGCUAAGCCUUUUUUUAAGAUUUUUCAGGUACCCCUCACUAAAGGCACUGAAGGCUUAAUGUAGGACAGCGGAGCCUUCCUGUGUGGCAAGAAUCAAGCAAGCAGUAUUGUAUCGAGACCAAAGUGGUAUCAUGGUCGGUUUUGAUUAGCAGUGGGGACUACCCUACCGUAACACCUUGUUGGAAUUGAAGCAUCCAAAGAAAAUACUUGAGAGGCCCUGGGCUUGUUUUAACAUCUGGAAAAAAGGCUGUUUUUAUAGCAGCGGUUACCAGCCCAAACCUCAAGUUGUGCUUGCAGGGGAGGGAAAAGGGGGAAAGCGGGCAACCAGUUUCCCCAGCUUUUCCAGAAUCCUGUUACAAGGUCUCCCCACAAGUGAUUUCUCUGCCACAUCGCCACCAUGGGCCUUUGGCCUAAUCACAGACCCUUCACCCCUCACCUUGAUGCAGCCAGUAGCUGGAUCCUUGAGGUCACGUUGCAUAUCGGUUUCAAGGUUAUGCCCAAUUCGUCUUAUUACCUCUGAGUCGACACACCUCCUACUAUUUAUUGAAUACUUUGAUUUUAUGAAAUAAAAACUAAAUAUCUCUCAUUGUGUGCUUCUUUGUGCAUAAAACACAGGCUUAUUUUAAGCCUAAAGAGACCAAAUGUCUGAUCUACCUCAGCUUCUCCGAUUAGUGAGGCCUUCCCUGUUUCCUUGGGCUGCAUGGCUCUUUCAUGCAGAUGGCUCUAAAGUUGGGCUUGGGUCCUAGGUGGCCACUCUUGCACCUCAGGAACACAAGGCCUUUCCCUGCUGUUCAGGCUCUCCUCCCUGAGAAAACAUUCUGGAUUGUCUAUGAGGAAGUUGGGAAAAGAUGGUGUCGAAAAGAGGUGGUGUGCAUUGCUCCUCUGUUCCUAACACUGGAUGGAAGACUAGUUUUCAUGUAGUUUAGGGAAAUAGUUAUACAUGGUCUAAAGGCCCAAAAACAUUCCCAGAGUGUAUGCAAUACUGUGUGUAAGUGUGCACUGCGUGUGUUUGGAGGUCAGAACUUCUCUGAGGUUCUAGAGAUGAAGCAAGUCCUCAGCCAUGGCCCAAGAAUGGGAAGGAACUGGGUCCUGCUGUACCACUUCCCAUUCCUUAAGGAACAGUUUGGCCCGGUGUGGUGCAAGCAUGGUCGGUCACUGAAAAAAGAAAACCCACUUAGGUUUCACAGGCUUGAAGAGCUG
rnacentral:lncRNA from 1 species